UUAUGACAACAUCAUGAUAAAGGUACAUUGUGACCUUAAAAGAAUAUUUUACUGGAGCAUUGUACAUGCUGCAUAAAUGUUAAUUGUUAUUAUUAUUACAAUUUUUAGUUCAGCCAGUGUAGCAAUUUAUCACUACAAUGGCAAGAAAUUGCUACUCUGGUUCUUGACAGUGGGUUUGCCACCUUCUGCUGUCUUCCUGGUUUUCACUCCACAUGGGAGUGAGGCGGCCGCUGAAUGCCAGGGCUAUGUCAAGUCUGGGAUUCUUAGUGGACUUCUCCACAAACACGGUGCCUAUUAGGGGAAAAAGUCUCUAGAAUUCUCCUGGCCCAGCCUUGAACAUCUUCCAGUAGGAACUGAGGAGAGCUUCCGAUGCAAAAUAAGAGGAAAAGAAGGCAGUGGGGUAAUUUACCACUGAAAAGAUUUCCCCAUUAGACAUUUUUACAGCAUCAAACUUGGUGGGGGAGGGGGUUUCUCCUGGCACGAUUCUGUUUGUUUCCUCCUUUUGUGGCACGAACAACAGCAUUUCAUAUUGAAACAUGAAGCCUCUAAAAUUAGGAUGGCGGCCAGAAAUUUGUAAUGGGUGCUUCACACCGUUCACACUCCUGCUUCACCCUCCUGGCUCCACUCAGCCGAGGGCAGCUCCACCCUGCAAGAAACUCGCAGCUCAAUUUGGAGCAAGUUUUGCUUGCUGAGGGGAGGCUGCUGUCAAUGGCACCGAAUGCCAAGCAAGGAAGCAGACCUGAUUCGUUUCUAGGCUUCAUCACCAGCUGCUUCUCCCUCGGCCUCCUCAGCCCCCAGCUGCCUGGGUUCGAAUCCCAGCUCUCUGCUCAUCAGGUGUGUAACCCUGGGCGAUGACUCCACCUCUGUGAGCUUCCACGUCUGCAGCUGUCAGCUCAGAAUCAAGAUGUCUGCCAGCCAAGAAUACCAGAAGCCUUGGUGGCAGGAAGGAGUGCUACCGCUGCCUGAGAACCACUGGUAACACCUUCCUGUGCUAAGGGCCCAUCGUCCUAACACAGGCUGUGCCUCAGGCAGAAGCUUCCUCUUCCUUCCUAUAUGCCCCAUCUCUGAGAUCACAGUAGGAGAAACCUCACCAUCACAGCCAAGACCGGAAUGCCAGUCAUGGAUCCAUCCAACCUCAUCCUUCCAUUGCUGAGAACUGUAAGCAUGGAGAGAGAGACCGCUGGCUAAGCCUGCACUCCUUUGUCCUCAUUCUGAGGGGAAAAAAAGCCAGAAGUCCUAGAGAGUUUAGCUUGCAGAGCCCAAUCUCACACACUAUAAAAUAGUUGGAGAUCUCUUACAUUUGAAAAAUCACAGCUGCAUGCUCUGCCUUCCAGCACCAGGCAGGAGAAAUGAGACAAACAAGCUUUGAAAAUAAAUCUGACUCUCUCGCGGCUCCGGAUAGCCGACAAGUGUUCGUCCAUCUGCCGCAAGCGUUCACACUGUGAAUUCAUUGAUUUGAUAAUACUCUCGCAUAAUUGAUUAAGGAGAGACUGGCUUCUUGACUUGCCUCCAUGUUUUCUGUCUGAUGUCUUCCCAGCAUUGCUCUCUGCUUUACGCAUGGCGAGGAAGGAGAAACCAAUGAUUUUUUCCAGCACUUUUCAAUGGGAUACAUGCAUGCUAUUGGUUAUCCCAAAACGGUGUAUUUUUCAAGUUCUUGAAUGGCAGCAACUGUUAGGUGUGUGCUUCUUUCCCCCAAAAUAUUUCUCCCAAUCUUCACAAUGCCGUCUUCAUCCUCUCCACCCCACUGCCCCAUUGUAUUUAUAGGAAGUGAAGAAAAACCAGAGGUCCAUUGGCGCCUAGCAGUCACCAUCGCCUGACACAGAGCGAUGGUAACUGCAGAAUUGUCAUAUGAGAUAUUAGCCCAGGGAAUAACACUGAUCCUUCUCCUAUCAGCAACUGCAACAACCCAUCCG
rnacentral:lncRNA from 1 species